GAGUGGAGGUGGCUGGGGUUCUAGACUGCGCACAAGGGAAAGGGGAGCGUCAGUAUUUCCUGGCCUCCAGACGUGAGGAGUGGCAGCUGUGUGUGCGUGCUGCCAGGACCUCUGUUACAGCUUCCUGGCCCUGAUGGACCUUCCUUCUGAACCUGAGAGUCGUUGAGAGCAAAUAUGAAGAAGACAAUACAACAUAAUUCUAAGGCUGCUCCUUGAACAUUUGAAAGAACAACGCAAGCAUAAAUUAUUUAGUGAGGUCUUCGUGUAUGAUAAUUAAACGAGAAAAGAAACACGUGUGUCAGGGG
rnacentral:lncRNA from 1 species